UUAGAGGGACGCUUUCUUUAAGGUUAUCCCGGGCGAUGGUUGCCCCGGGCGUAAGGGACCGAAAUAUAGUAGGGAAGUAACUGGCGAGAGAGACGAGAAAAGCUCUGGUGUAUACUAAGGUGCCCGUACCGCAAACCGACACAGGUAGAUGGGAUGAGUAUUCUAAGGCCAACGGGAGAAGGGUUGUCAAGGAACUCGGCAAAUUGGCCCCGUAACUUCGGGAUAAGGGGCGCCUGCGAGAGCAGGCCGCAGUGAAAAGGCCCAAGCGACUGUUUAGCAAAAACACAGCUCUCUGCUAAAUCGAAAGAUGACGUAUAGGGGGUGACGCCUGCCCGGUGCUGGAAGGUUAAGGGGAGUGCUUAGCGCAAGCGAAGGUGCGAACUUAAGCCCCAGUAAACGGCGGCCGUAACUAUAACGGUCCUAAGGUAGCGAAAUUCCUUGUCAGGUAAGUUCUGACCCGCACGAAUGGCGUAACGAUUUGGGCACUGUCUCAACAGCCCGCCCGGCGAAAUUGUAGUACCGGUGAAGAUGCCGGUUUCCCGCAACUAGACGGAAAGACCCCAUGGAGCUUCACUGUAGCUUGAUAUUGGAUCUCGGUAUUCCAUGUACAGGAUAGGUGGGAGGCUAGGAAGCGAGCGCGCCAGCGUUCGUGGAGCCAACCUUGGGAUACCACUCUUGGGAUAUUGGGAUUCUAACCUGCGACCAUGAAUCUGGUCGGGGGACACUGUCAGGUGGGCAGUUUGACUGGGGCGGUCGCCUCCAAAAGAGUAACGGAGGCGCUCAAAGGUUCGUUCAGCACGGAUGGAAAUCGUGCACUGAGUGUAAACGCAUAAACGAGCCUAACUGCGAGAAUGACGGUUCGAGCAGUAACGAAAGUUGGAGUUAGUGAUCCGGCGGUAUGUGAAUGGAAAUGCCGUCGCUCAACGGAUAAAAGCUACCCUGGGGAUAACAGGCUGAUCUCCCCCAAGAGUCCACAUCGACGGGGAGGUUUGGCACCUCGAUGUCGGCUCAUCGCAUCCUGGGGCUGAAUUCGGUCCCAAGGGUUUGGCUGUUCGCCAAUUAAAGCGGUACGCGAGCUGGGUUCAGAACGUCGUGAGACAGUUCGGUCCCUAUCUGUUGCGGGCGCAGGAAUAUUGAGAGGAGCUGUCCUUAGUACGAGAGGACCGGGAUGGACGUACCGCUGGUGCACCGGUUGUUCUGCCAAGGGCAUAGCUGGGUAGCUAAGUACGGACGAGAUAAACGCUGAAGGCAUCUAAGCGUGAAACUCCCCUCGAGAUAAGUGUUCCCAUCCUUCGGGAGUAAGGCCCCUUGUAGACUACAAGGUUGAUAGGUCAGGAGUGGAAGUGCAGUAAUGUAUGGAGCGGACUGAUACUAAUAGGCCGAGGGCUUGAC
rnacentral:rRNA from 1 species